AUCAUUUCUCUUCUUGGGCGCUCAUCAAAGCGCCCCAGAAGUGCAGCGAAAUAGCCAAUCGUGUAUGGUUGCUAGGCGAAAAUAAUAAAAAUUUGGCCUAUUAGCAUCGCCAAAUUAAAUGGUUUUGGGGCGCUGGAAAUUUCGCCCCUGCUACAGAAAAGAAGGGAAAGCUUUGGAUUGCUCUCAGGUCAGUCAGUCAGAGAGAGAUGAUGGCGACGAUGACAGUUGAGGGGCAGCUUCCACCAAAUUCGUUUUUGUUCCUGAAGCAAAAGUGGAGACGUCAGAGCCAACAAAGAAAAAUCAUGGAGUUCUCAGGAAAUGGAGAACAUCCUCAGGUGUACCACCUUAGGGUCACCUUUCCACAUACAGUCACAACCACAGGGAGCAGGCAGAGGGACUGACAGCCUCCCAUCUUCAUCAGUCUAGUCGCAGUUUGAUUCCAGUUUGAUUUGUAAUUGUAAUUCGUGACUUUGAUUGGCAGUAUUACCACACACCCCCCCACGGGAAAGAUGCUUCCCCCACAACUGUGCCCCACCUACAGAGCCAGCCUGAUGAGGCUGACAACCGUCAAAGAUCUGAGGAACGUCUGGGGUCCUGCUGAUUCCAGAGCUGCUUUUUAGGGGAGCAUUGAGCUUCUUCAAGAGCUGUGAGAGAUCAAAGCUGGAAAGGCCUCCACAGCCCUAUGCUGGAGAUUAGCCCGCAGAUGCAGAACACGGGCCAGAGUGCCUGGUGGUGUGGAAAUCACGCCACAGAACAUACCGACGAACUAAGGCCACAUCCAGCCCCUCCAAACCACAGCUAACUUCAGGGAGAAAUGCAGGAGACACUCAGCCAGGGGCACCAAAUGAGCAGCCAACAGGAUCCAGCGGACAGAACAGCUGCCAAACAGACACAGAACCACGCUUAUAGAGAUGCUGCCUGGCACUCCCACUGAUGGGGGCACAGAGACUGCAGAAAGGGAGGUGGGAUGUUUUUGCAGGGGGUGGGGGGGUAAAUCUUCCCCAGGGGGGUCAUACAAUCAUUCUGUUACCCCUGUAUGAUGAAAGGUUUUUAGAAAAUGAAACAAAACAGAUGCAUUGCUAGACCUGUGUUCCUUGAUAAGACUUCACAAGCAUUAUGGGUAAACGCAUGUUAGGCAUAUUGUUCAAGGUAACGACUAAGACAGAGGUGGCCAAUC